UACGGAGGGAGCUAGCGUUGUUCGGAAUUACUGGGCGUAAAGCGCACGUAGGCGGCUUUGUAAGUUAGAGGUGAAAGCCCGGGGCUCAACCCCGGAAUUGCCUUUAAGACUGCAUCACUUGAAUCCGGGAGAGGUGAGUGGAAUUCCGAGUGUAGAGGUGAAAUUCGUAGAUAUUCGGAAGAACACCAGUGGCGAAGGCGGCUCACUGGACCGGUAUUGACGCUGAGGUGCGAAAGCGUGGGGAGCAAACAGG
rnacentral:rRNA from 1 species